UACGUAGGGUGCAAGCGUUAAUCGGAAUUACUGGGCGUAAAGCGCACGCAGGCGGUUGGUUAAGUCAGAUGUGAAAGCCCCGGGCUCAACCUGGGAAUUGCAUUUGAAACUGGCCAACUAGAGUACGUGAGAGGGGGGUAGAAUUCCAAGUGUAGCGGUGAAAUGCGUAGAGAUUUGGAGGAAUACCAGUGGCGAAGGCGGCCCCCUGGCACGAUACUGACGCUCAGGUGCGAAAGCGUGGGGAGCAAACAGG
rnacentral:rRNA from 1 species